rnacentral:rRNA from 1 species
GUAAAGAACCUGCCCUCAGGUCUGGGAUAACCACGAGAAAUCGGGGCUAAUACCGGAUGGGUCAUCGGACCGCAUGGUCCGAGGAUGAAAGGCGCUUCGGCGUCGCCUGGGGAUGGCUUUGCGGUGCAUUAGCUAGUUGGUGGGGUAAUGGCCCACCAAGGCGACGAUGCAUAGCCGACCUGAGAGGGUGAUCGGCCACACUGGGACUGAGACACGGCCCAGACUCCUACGGGAGGCAGCAGUAGGGAAUCUUCCACAAUGGACGA